AUGUGUGCGUUCUGGACGUACCAUGUGGUGUAUGCCACAAUGCCAUGUGGGUUGGGCCUGCAUGAAAUGCUGAUCUGUAGCAGAUCCUCCAUCGCCUCAUCACUGGCUGCUCAAGGGCAGCAUCACACACCAAGGCCUGUGACAACAUCUUCAUGCCCAACUCUCACUCCACAUGGGAACGACACUGCUCUAUUGCUUGCUUAUUUAAGAUCAUGGCAAUCAUUUUAUCUAGCCUAUGUGUUUCUAAUUUUCUCCCCUUAUUGUUGCAGGUUAGAGUGCAGCUUUCAGACACUUCUUUCUUUGGGAUAG
rnacentral:rRNA from 1 species